CCAAUAGCGUAUAUUAAAGUUGUUGCAGUUAAGAAGCUCGUAGUUGAACUUCGGGGUUUGCUCAUUGGUCAGGCUUAAUUGUCUGCACUGGUGGGAUAAAUCUCUACCUUCUGAGGAACUUUCAUGCCAUUUAUUUGGUGUGAUGGGAAAUCAGGACUGUUACUUUGAAAAAAUUAGAGUGUUUAAAGCAGACUAACGUCUGAAUACAUUAGCAUGGAAUAAUGAAAUAGGACGGACUGAUUCUAUUUCGUUGGUUUCUAGGAUCACCGUAAUGAUUAAUAGGGAUAGUUGGGGGCAUUAGUAUUCAAUUGUCAGAGGUGAAAUUCUUGGAUUUAUUGAAGACUAACUACUGCGAAAGCAUUUGCCAAGGAUGUUUUCAUUAAUCAAGAACGAAAGUUAGGGGAUCGAAGACGAUCAGAUACCGUCGUAGUCUUAACCAUAAACUAUGCCGACUAGGGAUCGGAUGAUGUUAAUUUUUUAAUGACUCAUUCGGCGCCUUACG
rnacentral:rRNA from 1 species